AUUGAACGCUGGCGGCAGGCCUAACACAUGCAAGUCGAACGAGUGGCGGACGGGUGAGUAAUGUCUGGGAAUCUGCCUGAUGGAGGGGGAUAACUACUGGAAACGGUCGCUAAUACCGCAUACCAUCGGAUGUGCCCAGAUGGGAUUAGCUAGUGGGUGGGGUAAUGGCCUACCUAGGCGACGAUCCCUAGCUGGUCUGAGAGGAUGACCAGCCACACCGGAACUGAGACACGGCCCAGACUCCUACGGGAGGCAGCAGUGGGGAAUAUUGCACAAUGGGCGCAAGCCUGAUGCAGCCAUGCCGCGUGAAUGAAGAAGGCCUUCGGGUUGUAAAGUACUUUCAGUGAGGAGGCGUUACUCGCAGAAGAAGCACCGGCUAACUCCGUGCCAGCAGCCGCGGUAAUUC
rnacentral:rRNA from 1 species